GUGAACAGUUUGUAGUGAAUAUAGUCAAGACGCUGGCGACAGUACACCCACCCUGAGACCGUCAGACCCCUCAUCUUCUGUCUGGAACCACUGUUUGAGUCCAACUUUUACUGUACCAUAGCUUCCUAUGAGACACGGCGUGGAUGGGAACCUCCAGAGAGAGCUGGUGGGCCUUGUGCUGUGAUCCAAAUGGACAAACCACGACCACUGUCAAUCGGACAAUUAGGACUGGUGACAGACAUCCUACUACUUUGCGGUCACUAGAAAGGACAGCAGAGGAAUCAGAUGAGAGGAGACAGAAGAGGAGA